GCUGGAGAGAGAAGGGACAGGUGACCCGAUCGGAGCCCAGCCCGGCCCGGCCGCCGUCGGCGGGGGGCGAGAGAGAGCAAGGGGCGUCGAGGUCUGGGAGGGACUCUAGGGAGAUCCCGGCCGGGAUGUGGCGAGAGGCCUGAACCGGGGAGAGCCGGUAGAUGUGCGGCUAACUGGAGGGUGUCUGCCGCCUGGAACCCCGAAGAGGUGUCCACACGCGCCGCCGCGGGCCCACCUCCCCCGGCGCCCUCGGGAACGGGGGCGGCUCAGGGACUCGCCUGCAGCUCCCUCUGCCUGCAGCUGCUCCAUCUGCUCCUGCAGCAGCCGGACUUGCGCCUCCAGGUCCCGGUUCCGGGCCUCGGCCUCGCGGAGCUGACUGCGGGGAGGGAAGGACCGUGAGCCCUGGGACCUCGGGGAGAGAGGCUGCGACAGGCAGCGACCGGGCCGGGCCGAGCCGAGCCUGACCUGGCGAAGCUCUGGUUGGCCGUGCGGAUGGCCUCCAGCUCCCGGCUCAGGCUCUGCCGGGUCAGCACCUCCUCCUCCAGGGCCUCCUGGAGCUCCCGCAGCGUCAUCUCCGCCUCUGCCACCGCGGGAACGGCCUCUGGACCUGCCGCUUCAGCCUGUGGAUGGGGACCGGGUUUAGGGCUGGGCUGCCUGUGGCUCUUGGAGCCUGGAGACUUGAGCAUGGGUUCCAGGCCUGGGAUCCUCCCUUGUCUUCUACUCCCCGUCCCCUAGAUCUUUCUGGAAUCCUCACAGCCCCUGUGGUGAUCCAAACGCCCUCCGUCCAUAACCCCAGCCCCUAUCCUGUAUUCCAGCCUUUAGUCUUUAGGUUUGUUUCCUGCUGGCCUCCCCGGCCUCCCCUCCCCUCGCUCCCUACCCCCUUGUCCUAGAACAGUUCAGCUUUACGACCCUCCUUUCUGCUCAAGGACUAACUAGCUAGUUCCUACCUCAGGGCCUUUGUCCCUGCGGUCCCCUCUGCCGACCCAUGAGCACUCUUGUUCCCUCAGGGGGUCCUUCUCCAGAGCUCCCUCUCCCCAGAGAGCCCCCCUCCACACACACUCGGUGCCCUAUGAUCAUCUCUGACUCAAGUCCCCUUGUCUCCACUGGGUUUUCCAUCUCUUUCUGUCAAGUGAGCUCCCAGAGGCCUUAGCACUCCAGGGCACCCACCGCCCAGGACGCCCUGGCCUCAGACCCGCCCCUGCCUGGCCCUCGCCUCCAACGACUCACUGUUUUCUCCAGUGGGGGCACUGUGGGCUCCAGGCUGGGCACUUGCACAGGUGGCUCAGGCAACAGCUCAGCCUCCAGUUCCAUGGGUGUGGGGCCCGGGACCUCAUCGUCCCUGGGGAGAGGAACCGGCCAGGGGAGGGAGAGCUGGCCCCAGCCCGAGGCUGCCCAUCCCUGCGGUUAGCCAGGAUGCCCUAGCCUGUGGGCGUGGGGUGGCCAGACCCAAGAUCCCAUGGUUUGAGGAGGGGGAGGGGGCAGAGUAAAGGGGACAAAUUGCCAGGCUUGUGUGACAGGUCCUCCUCGUUAGGGAAAGGCCCUCCCCUCGCAUGCCUCGGGCCCCUGGGAGCCGCCGUCUCUGCAGCUUCUGCGGGAAUUGGGGCCCAGACACUCAUGGGCUAGGGUCUGCUCAUCUCCCCGUCCACGUGACUUUUGCAGACCCUUCUCCUCAGGGCCUCAGGACAGUGAAGGGGACCCCACCCAACUCUGGUCACCCCCAGAGAUGUAGUCUUAAGACUGGGUGUGGGAUCCCAAGGCUGUGAUGCUAGACAUCCCCUCAGACCCAGCUGCUGAGAGGGGACAGACCCUCCCGAGGAAUAUGGAAUUGCGAGAAAAGUGGAUGUCCCCUCCAACCCAGCAACCCCACUCCUGGAAAGAGGUCUUGAGGACCUCACGGUCUGUACGUGUGCCGAGACCAAGCCGCAGCUGUCUGUCCAGCCUGGGUUGUGACAGAGGCCGGUUAACUGAAUCCUGACCCGCCCAGGAAGGAGAACGCUACACAGCGGGUCAGGAUCAUGUCACAGUUCAUUCAUGAGAAGAAACAUCGUUUGCAAUCCAUCAGCCAGCAACAAACCAGACUGGAACACAGCACCUGCUCUCGGCUGUUGGAAAUGUGUGUGAGCCAGGGGCCGUCGCUGCUGGCGGGACGCCCCUUCCUUACCGACACAAGCAAUGGAUUAUUUGUAUAAUUAAUGUUUUUAAAAGGCUUACAGUUAUGUGAGUGACUCAAUGAGUUUGUGUUCUUUUAAGAGUUUGUGUUCUUUUAAAUUUUAAGUUUAAAAUUUCUAAACUUCUUAUUUUCUAAGA